rnacentral:rRNA from 1 species
ACCAGACUUGCCCUCCAAUUGUUACUUGAUAAGUGGUUUAAAUUGUUCUCAUUGCAAUCUCGCAAUCACAGAGUGAUCCGAGUUGUUAUUUCUUGUCACUACCUCCCUGAAUCAGGAUUGGGUAAUUUACGCGCCUGCUGCCUUCCUUAGAAGUGGUAGCCGUUUCUCAGGCUCCCUCUCCGGAAUCGAACCCUAAUUCCCCGUUACCCGUGACUGCCAUGGUAGUCCAAUACACUACCAUCGAAAGCUGAUAGGGCAGAAACUCGAACGAUCUAUCGAGGCACGACCUCGAUUCGCUCAGUUAUUAUGAAUCGUCACAACACCCGAAGGUAUUGGUUUAUAUCUAAUAAAUACAACCUUUCCGUAAAGUCAGGUUUGACAGCAUGUAUUAGCUCUAGAAUUACUACGGUUAUCCAUGUAGAAAAUUAUCGAAUAAACUAUAACUGUUUUAAUGAGCCAUUCGCAGUUUCACUGUAUACGAUUUAUACUUAGACAUGCAUGGCUUAGUCUUUAAGACAAGCAUAUGACUACUGGCAGGAUCAACCAG